AUGUAACAUGAUGUGGAAUGUCUAUCAUUCAGUUAUCCCUGUCUGAAAACUACUGUUGAAACCUAAAUAUUCUGAUUUACCU
rnacentral:snoRNA from 1 species